CGUCUGGGUCUUGCACAACAGAACUCUGUGAACCGUGUCAGGUCAGGAAUGAAGCAGCACUAAGCAGAACCUUUUGUGUGUUGCAAGGGUGCCUGGGCCGAGU
rnacentral:SRP_RNA from 1 species